CUCCUCCUGCAGGUCUCUGAUAUGUGUCAGUGUUAGUACAACUUUAUCAAAGAGAGGCUGAAACAAGAGUCUACUGUAGAUUUCAACAAGUUAAUUUUAUCUAAAGUAUUAUUUAACAAUUUCUGUGAUGGCAAACUGGCAAAGAAUUGUAGUCUUCUUCAUCACAUAUUUCUGGGGAUGUGAUUCUCUGGACAGCGUUGAACAAAAUCCAGGAGUUCAAACUGCUGUUGAAGGUGCAGCUGUAACAAUCAACUGUCAAUAUGAAACCACUGAUUCAUCACCAGAUCUGUUCUGGUACCAGCAAAAAGUGAAUGGAUUUCCAGAAUACAUGCUGAACAGAUUUGGCACGAAUAAUAAACAGUUCGAGGACAGAUUUAGCAGCAAUCUCGACACAACUUCAAAAUCUUUUCCACUGACAAUCCAGGAUCUGUGUGUGUCAGACUCUGCUGUGUAUUACUGUGCUCUGAGGCCCACAGUCACAGGAAACACAAGAACACUGUACAAAAACCUGACAGCUGAAUGCCUUACUAAACAGACUGAAGCACAUAACAAUAGAAAUAAUCACAUUCCCAAACUGCCAAUUCAGACACAGAACAAAAGUCUGAUGGAACAAAAAGACACCUUUUAAAAUGAGAUAUAAUA